AGUUAAGAUGUUGCUUUGGGCCUUUUAGAAGCCUUAGUAACUUUCUUUAAAUAUUCUUUUAAGUUGUUUUUUUAAUGUAGAACAUAUUUUAAAAGACUUUUUAAAAUUUGAUACAAUAUUGCUUCAGUUUGAUGUUUUGUUUUUUUGACCCAGAGGCAUGUAUGGAAGGUGAAGGCUUAAUCACUGGGCUGCCAGGAAAGAUUGAGGUCUUCCUCAGUGGCUCAGUGGUAAAGAAUCCAACUGCCAAGCUGGAGACAGAGGAGACCUAGGUUCAGUCCCUGGAUUGAGAAGAUCCCCUGGAGGAGGGCAUGGUAACCCACGCUGGUAUUCUUGCCUGAAGAAUCCCAUGGACAGAAGACCCUGGCGGGCUAUAGUCCAUGGGGUUGCAAAGAGUUGACACACCGAAGCGACAAAAUACAUGCACAGGAAAGAGUGAAGAAUAUUUGAAUGCUGAUGGAAAGGAGCCAGUAGAGAGAGAGAGAGAAGUUGGAGAGAAAGCAAAGAGGGAGUAACCGAGCAAGGCUGAAACAUUAGGAAGGUGAGGGGCUUUCCAAGUGGCACUAGUGGUAAAGAACCUACCUGCCUGCCUGCUGAUGCAGAGACAUGGGUUUGAUCCCUGCGUCAGGAAGAUCCCCUGCAGGAGGGACUGGCAACCCACUCCACUAUUCUUGCCUGGAGAAUCCCCAAGGACAGAGGAGGCUGGUGGGCUACAGUCCAUGGACUCGAACAGAGUUGUACAUGACUGAAGCAACGUAGUAUGCACACAACAUUACAGAUGAGAGAGCUGACUCAGAGAGGUCAUAUAAUUUGCUCAAGGUCAUAGUAAUAAGAGGUAGAGCUUGGGGUCCAAUUCAAGUCCUUUGGAUCACAAAAUCUGUCAGUUUAACUAUGAACCACCUUGUAUUGUCAUGAAACCUUUUGGGAUUCCAGGGAGCAUGAAGUACCCACUGUGUUCUUGACUGCCAUCCUGUAUUGUGUGACCUUUCUUAAUUUAUGAUACAAAAUGUUAUUGCUUUGAUUAUAUACAUGUACUACUUUAUAUACCAAGUCUCUAAGCCUUUUGGAAAAUACUCCUUUUUGCUUCAGGCAUAAGUUUGGAAACAAAGCUAGCGGACUGACGACCUCAGGCUAUACUUUGUACCCUCAGCUGAAGUGUCAUGAUACACUGGCAAGGCCCAUUGUGAGGAAAAGUCUCUAGUGGUAUGUUACUAAUAAUAUCAUUCAAGAGUGUUUGCAUAUGAUUUAUUUUUAAAAGGGCUACAGGAUAUUCGAAGUCAUCUUUGCAUGUGU
ensembl:lncRNA